GGUUAAGCGACUAAGCGUACACGGUGGAUGCCCUGGCAGUCAGAGGCGAUGAAGGGCGUGCUAAUCUGCGAUAAGCGCCGGUAAGGUGAUAUGAACCGUUAUAACCGGCGAUACCCGAAUGGGGAAACCCAGUGUGACUCGUCACACUAUCAUUAACUGAAUCCAUAGGUUAAUGAGGCGAACCGGGGGAACUGAAACAUCUAAGUACCCCGAGGAAAAGAAAUCAACCGAGAUUCCCCCAGUAGCGGCGAGCGAACGGGGAGGAGCCCAGAGCCUGAAUCAGCAUGUGUGUUAGUGGAAGCGUCUGGAAAGGCGCGCGAUACAGGGUGACAGCCCCGUACACAAAAGCGCAUGUGCUGUGAGCUCGAUGAGUAGGGCGGGACACGUGGUAUCCUGUCUGAAUAUGGGGGGACCAUCCUCCAAGGCUAAAUACUCCUGACUGACCGAUAGUGAACCAGUACCGUGAGGGAAAGGCGAAAAGAACCCCGGCGAGGGGAGUGAAAAAGAACCUGAAACCGUGUACGUACAAGCAGUGGGAGCACCCUUUGGGUGUGACUGCGUACCUUUUGUAUAAUGGGUCAGCGACUUAUAUUCUGUAGCAAGGUUAACCGAAUAGGGGAGCCGGAGGGAAACCGAGUCUUAACCGGGCGUUAAGUUGCAGGGUAUAGACCCGAAACCCGGUGAUCUAGCCAUGGGCAGGUUGAAGGUUGGGUAACACUAACUGGAGGACCGAACCGACUAAUGUUGAAAAAUUAGCGGAUGACCUGUGGCUGGGGGUGAAAGGCCAAUCAAACCGGGAGAUAGCUGGUUCUCCCCGAAAGCUAUUUAGGUAGCGCCUCGUGAAUUCAUCUCCGGGGGUAGAGCACUGUUUCGGCUAGGGGGCCAUCCCGGCUUACCAACCCGAUGCAAACUGCGAAUACCGGAGAAUGUUAUCACGGGAGACACACGGCGGGUGCUAACGUCCGUCGUGAAGAGGGAAACAACCCAGACCGCCAGCUAAGGUCCCAAAGUCAUGGUUAAGUGGGAAACGAUGUGGGAAGGCCCAGACAGCCAGGAUGUUGGCUUAGAAGCAGCCAUCAUUUAAAGAAAGCGUAAUAGCUCACUGGUCGAGUCGGCCUGCGCGGAAGAUGUAACGGGGCUAAACCAUGCACCGAAGCUGCGGCAGCGACACUGUGUGUUGUUGGGUAGGGGAGCGUUCUGUAAGCCUGUGAAGGUGUGUCGUGAGGCAUGCUGGAGGUAUCAGAAGUGCGAAUGCUGACAUAAGUAACGAUAAAGCGGGUGAAAAGCCCGCUCGCCGGAAGACCAAGGGUUCCUGUCCAACGUUAAUCGGGGCAGGGUGAGUCGACCCCUAAGGCGAGGCCGAAAGGCGUAGUCGAUGGGAAACGGGUUAAUAUUCCCGUACUUGGUGUUACUGCGAAGGGGGGACGGAGAAGGCUAUGUUGGCCGGGCGACGGUUGUCCCGGUUUAAGUGUGUAGGUGUGUGUUCCAGGUAAAUCCGGUUCACUUUAACACUGAGGCGUGACGACGAGGCACUACGGUGCUGAAGCAACAAAUGCCCUGCUUCCAGGAAAAGCCUCUAAGCAUCAGGUAACAUCAAAUCGUACCCCAAACCGACACAGGUGGUCAGGUAGAGAAUACCAAGGCGCUUGAGAGAACUCGGGUGAAGGAACUAGGCAAAAUGGUGCCGUAACUUCGGGAGAAGGCACGCUGACACGUAGGUGAAGUGAUUUACUCAUGGAGCUGAAGUCAGUCGAAGAUACCAGCUGGCUGCAACUGUUUAUUAAAAACACAGCACUGUGCAAACACGAAAGUGGACGUAUACGGUGUGACGCCUGCCCGGUGCCGGAAGGUUAAUUGAUGGGGUCAGCGCAAGCGAAGCUCCUGAUCGAAGCCCCGGUAAACGGCGGCCGUAACUAUAACGGUCCUAAGGUAGCGAAAUUCCUUGUCGGGUAAGUUCCGACCUGCACGAAUGGCGUAAUGAUGGCCAGGCUGUCUCCACCCGAGACUCAGUGAAAUUGAACUCGCUGUGAAGAUGCAGUGUACCCGCGGCAAGACGGAAAGACCCCGUGAACCUUUACUAUAGCUUGACACUGAACAUUGAGCCUUGAUGUGUAGGAUAGGUGGGAGGCUUUGAAGUGUGGACGCCAGUCUGCAUGGAGCCGACCUUGAAAUACCACCCUUUAAUGUUUGAUGUUCUAACGUGGACCCGUUACCCGGGUUGCGGACAGUGUCUGGUGGGUAGUUUGACUGGGGCGGUCUCCUCC
rnacentral:rRNA from 1 species